rnacentral:rRNA from 1 species
AGCUACCAUGCAGUCGACGAUGAUGCCCAGCUUGCUGGGCGGAUUAGUGGCGAACGGGUGAGUAAUACGUGAGUAACCUGCCCUUGACUCUGGGAUAAGCCUGGGAAACUGGGUCUAAUACUGGAUACUACCUCUUGCCGCAUGGUGGGUGGUGGAAAGGGUUUUACUGGUUUUGGAUGGGCUCACGGCCUAUCAGCUUGUUGGUGGGGUAAUGGCUCACCAAGGCGACGACGGGUAGCCGGCCUGAGAGGGUGACCGGCCACACUGGGACUGAGACACGGCCCAGACUCCUACGGGAGGCAGCAGUGGGGAAUAUUGCACAAUGGGCGGAAGCCUGAUGCAGCGACGCCGCGUGAGGGAUGACGGCCUUCGGGUUGUAAACCUCUUUCAGUAGGGAAGAAGCGAGAGUGACGGUACCUGCAGAAGAAGCGCCGGCUAACUACGUGCCAGCAGCCGCGGUAAUACGUAGGGCGCAAGCGUUGUCCGGAAUUAUUGGGCGUAAAGAGCUCGUAGGCGGUUUGUCGCGUCUGCUGUGAAAGCCCGGGGCUCAACCCCGGGUCUGCAGUGGGUACGGGCAGACUAGAGUGCAGUAGGGGAGACUGGAAUUCCUGGUGUAGCGGUGAAAUGCGCAGAUAUCAGGAGGAACACCGAUGGCGAAGGCAGGUCUCUGGGCUGUUACUGACGCUGAGGAGCGAAAGCAUGGGGAGCGAACAGGAUUAGAUACCCUGGUAGUCCAUGCCGUAAACGUUGGGCACUAGGUGUGGGGGACAUUCCACGUUUUCCGCGCCGUAGCUAACGCAUUAAGUGCCCCGCCUGGGGAGUACGGCCGCAAGGCUAAAACUCAAAGGAAUUGACGGGGGCCCGCACAAGCGGCGGAGCAUGCGGAUUAAUUCGAUGCAACGCGAAGAACCUUACCAAGGCUUGACAUUCACCGGACCGCCCCAGAGAUGGGGUUUCCCUUCGGGGCUGGUGGACAGGUGGUGCAUGGUUGUCGUCAGCUCGUGUCGUGAGAUGUUGGGUUAAGUCCCGCAACGAGCGCAACCCUCGUUCUAUGUUGCCAGCACGUGAUGGUGGGGACUCAUAGGAGACUGCCGGGGUCAACUCGGAGGAAGGUGGGGAUGACGUCAAAUCAUCAUGCCCCUUAUGUCUUGGGCUUCACGCAUGCUACAAUGGCCGGUACAAAGGGUUGCGAUACUGUGAGGUGGAGCUAAUCCCAAAAAGCCGGUCUCAGUUCGGAUUGAGGUCUGCAACUCGACCUCAUGAAGUCGGAGUCGCUAGUAAUCGCAGAUCAGCAACGCUGCGGUGAAUACGUUCCCGGGCCUUGUACACACCGCCCGUCAAGUCACGAAAGUUGGUAACACCCGAAGCCGGUGGCCUAACCCCUUGUGGGAGGAGCCGUCGAAGUGACGGU